rnacentral:lncRNA from 1 species
GCUCUCGAGAUUCGGAGAGCGGUGUCUCUUCGAUUUUUGAGAAAGUAAUCAUGUUGGGAGUCUGGCUCUCGAGAUUCGGAGGGCGGUGCCUCUUCGAUUUUGGAGCAAGCAAUCUUGUUGGGAGUGUUUUCUCGAAUGUGAGUAAAGGUUGGACGUGUUUGCUAGUCUACCUUGCCACGAAGCACAGAGGUUGACACACAGGGACUUUCCAAUUAUCCAGCAGUGGUAUUGUUCCUUUACCCUCUCUUCGAUUUUUGAGAAAGUAAUCAUGUUGGGAGUCUGGCUCUCGAGAUUCGGAAGGCGGUGCCUCUUCGAUUUUGGAGCAAGCAAUCUUGUUGGGAGUGUUUUUCUCGAAUGUGAGUAAAGGUUGGGCAUGUUUGCUAGUCUACCUUGCCACGAAACACAAAGGUUGACACACAGGGACUUUCCAAUUAUCCAGCAGUGGUACUGUUCCUUUACCCUCUCUUCGAUUUUUGAGAAAGUAAUCAUGUUGGGAGUCUGGCUCUCGAGAUUCGGAGGGCGGUGCCUCUUCGAUUUUGGAGCAAGCAAUCUUGUUGGGAGUGUUUUCUCGAAUGUGAGUACAGGUUGGGCAUGUUUGCUAGUCUACCUUGCCACGAAGCACAGAGGUUGACACACC